ACGAACGCUGGCGGCAUGCCUAACACAUGCAAGUCGAACGAGACCUUCGGGUCUAGUGGCGCACGGGUGCGUAACGCGUGGGAACCUGCCCUUAGGUUCGGAAUAACUCCCCGAAAGGGGUGCUAAUACCGGAUAAUGUCUCCGGACCAAAGAUUUAUCGCCUUUGGAUGGGCCCGCGUUGGAUUAGCUAGUUGGUAGGGUAAAAGCCUACCAAGGCGACGAUCCAUAGCUGGUCUGAGAGGAUGAUCAGCCACACUGGGACUGAGACACGGCCCAGACUCCUACGGGAGGCAGCAGUGGGGAAUAUUGGACAAUGGGCGAAAGCCUGAUCCAGCAAUGCCGCGUGAGUGAUGAAGGCCUUAGGGUUGUAAAGCUCUUUUACCCGGGAUGAUAAUGACAGUACCGGGAGAAUAAGCGCCGGCUAACUCCGUG
rnacentral:rRNA from 1 species